ACGUGCUUAACACAUGCAAGUCGAACGAGAACGGGAUUCUUCGGAAGCCUUAUUAAAGUGGCGCACGGGUGAGUAACGCGUAGAUAAUCUACCUUUAUGACUGGGAUAACGGACCGAAAGGUCCCCUAAUACCGGAUACGCUCUUUUUAACAUAAGUUAGGAAGAAGAAAGAUGGCCUCUCCUUGGAAGCUAUUGCUUGAAGAUGAGUUUGCGUACCAUUAGCUAGUUGGUGGGGUAAGAGCCUACCAAGGCAACGAUGGUUAGCGGGUCUGAGAGGAUGAUCCGCCACACUGGAACUGAAACACGGACCAGACUCCUACGGGAGGCAGCAGUGAGGAAUUUUGCGCAAUGGGGGAAACCCUGACGCAGCGACGUCGCGUGGACGAUGAAGGCCUUAGGGUUGUAAAGUCCUGUCAGAAGGGAAGAAGUGCAUAUGUGCUAAUACCACAUAUGUUUGACGGUACCUUCAAAGGAAGCACCGGCUAACUCCGUGCCAGCAGCCGCGGUAAUACGGAGGGUGCAAGCGUUAAUCGGAAUUACUGGGCGUAAAGGGCGCGUAGGCGGCCUAUUAAGUCAGGUGUGAAAUCCCACGGCUCAACCGUGGACGUGCAUCUGAAACUGGUAGGCUUGAGUAUGGGAGAGGAAAGUGGAAUUCCCGGUGUAGAGGUGAAAUUCGUAGAUAUCRGGAGGAACACCGAUGGCGAAG
rnacentral:rRNA from 1 species